GAGUGUGAGAAGAAUCUUGCUGCAAUGCCAAUCACUCCAGUUGUAGCCAAAGUUGGUUUGGCUGAUCUCAUCCACUAGGCAGGUGGCCCCUUCCUCCAUCUCAACUCCAUUUAAAAGCUAUAUUCUCCAUCCAAAAAGGAUAACCUGUCCUAAUAGAAGACUGUUCUUUGGCCAUGAGUGUAUGAGUGACUGUGCUUAUGUACUCAAACUUUAAAAAGCUCCCAUGUUCCAUUUGUAGAAGAACAGAGGGUAGUCAAGCUUCCAAAACUCCAGAUAUUACCAGAUGUGGCAUUGCAUGGGGAAAAUUGUCUUACUAA
rnacentral:snRNA from 1 species